rnacentral:rRNA from 1 species
UACGAAGGGGGCUAGCGUUGCUCGGAAUGACUGGGCGUAAAGGGCGCGUAGGCGGCGAUCACAGUCAGAUGUGAAAUUCCUGGGCUUAACCUGGGGGCUGCAUUUGAUACGUGGUUGCUUGAGUGGGGAAGAGGGUCGUGGAAGUUCCCAGUGGUAGAGGUGAAAUUCGUAGAUAUUGGGAAGAACACCGGUGGCGAAGGCGGCGACCUGGUCCUUGACUGACGCUGAGGCGCGAAAGCGUGGGGAGCAAACAGG